UACGAAGGGUGCAAACGUUGCUCGGAAUCAUUGGGCGUAAAGCGCACGUAGGCGGCUUCGCAAGUCGGAUGUGAAAUCCCUCGGCUCAACCGAGGACGUGCAUCCGAAACUGUGAGGCUUGAGUACAGAAGAGGAUCGCGGAAUUCCCGGUGUAGAGGUGAAAUUCGUAGAUAUCGGGAGGAACACCAGUGGCGAAGGCGGCGAUCUGGGAAGAUACUGACGCUGAGGUGCGAAAGCGUGGGGAGCAAACAGG
rnacentral:rRNA from 1 species